UCAAAAAUGUGUAAUAGAGGUAUUUAAUCAGUGCAUUCCGUUGGCUCCUGUGCCUUAUGAACUGCAAGAAGAAGCAUUCUGGUCUUUACACCUUCUUCUUUGGAGUCUCUUUGGUUCCUUUUACUGCGGUUCAUAUCAUCAGUUAAGGAAUCCUUAAAUUUGAAGGCAAGAAGGAAGGCAAGUAUAAUAUUGUCAAGACAUACACUACUGAGGAAUCAGCUCACAUUCCAAUGGCGAUCACAACUGCAGAAACGAAUGAAAAAAUUCCAGACCUUCAUGCUACUGUGCUGCAAUCUGCUAACAAAAAUGAAUUUUUCAGUCCAUCAAUCAAAAAACUGCUUGAUAACAUCGCUGAAACUUCUGCUACUGCAAACAAAGUGCCACCUCCAGUGACCACAGCAAAGAGAGCCUUGGUUUUUUGAACUGUACCUCCUGAAAUUGGAUCAAAUUCUGCUGAAGCUAUUACACCUGCCUUACUGCCCACCAAUGCACUCUCAGCUUUCGCUCCAAUUAAUCUUGCGCCUGGAAGUCCCUUGAAGAAGCAACGUGAUAAUGAACUCUGAACUUGUUUGAAGCCUUUUUGAAUUGCUAAUCUUGCUAAUCUUGAAGCACUUUACAACUGAAUUGCUAAUGUUGCAUCUUUGGACACAAUAUUGACAUCCAUUAAGAAAUUGUUCUUUUGUGCAACUUAAUGGAUCUCAAUAUUUGAUAUUUUG